rnacentral:rRNA from 1 species
UUCCGUUUAAUCCUGCGGACCUCACUGCUAUCGGGGUGGGACUAAGACAUGCAAGUCGUACGCCUCCCAGCCGCCGGGGGAGGCGUGGCGCACGGCUCCGUAACACGUGGCUAACCUACCCUUGGGACGGGGAUAACCCCGGGAAACUGGGGCUAAUCCCCGAUAGGCGAGGAUGCCUGGAAUGGUUCCUCGCCGAAAGGGCACCGGAACCGUGCUUCCGGUGUCGCCCAAGGAUGGGGCCGCGGCCGAUCAGGUUGUUGGUGGGGUAACGGCCCACCAAGCCGAUAACCGGUACGGGCCGUGAGAGCGGGAGCCCGGAGAUGGGCACUGAGAUAAGGGCCCAGGCCCUACGGGGCGCAGCAGUCGCGAAACCUCCGCAAUGCGCGAAAGCGCGACGGGGCCAUCCCGAGUGCCGCCCGCUGAGGGCGGCUUUUCCCCGGUGUAGAUAGCCGGGGGAAUAAGGGGAGGGCAAGUCUGGUGUCAGCCGCCGCGGUAAUACCAGCUCCCCGAGUGGUGGGGACGAUUAUUGGGCCUAAAGCGUCCGUAGCCGGCCCGGCAAGUCUCCCGUUAAAUCCAACGAUCUAAUCGUUGGACUGCGGGAGAUACUGUCGGGCUAGGGGGCGGGAGAGGCCGGCGGUAUUCCCGGGGUAGGGGUGAAAUCCUAUAAUCCCGGGAGGACCACCAGUGGCGAAGGCGGCCGGCUGGAACGCGCCCGACGGUGAGGGACGAAAGCUGGGGGAGCGAUCCGGAUUAGAUACCCGGGUAGUCCCAGCCGUAAACGAUGCAGGCUAGGUGUUGGCGUGACUACGAGUCACGCCAGUGCCGCAGGGAAGCCGUUAAGCCUGCCGCCUGGGGAGUACGGUCGCAAGACUGAAACUUAAAGGAAUUGGCGGGGGAGCACCACAAGGGGUGAAGCUUGCGGUUCAAUUGGAGCAACGCCGGAAAU